UCCGUAGGUGGAUAAUUAAGUCAGAGGUGAAAUCCCACAGCUUAACUGUGGAACUGCCUUUGAUACUGGUUGUCUUGAGUUAUAGUGAAGUAGAUAGAAUAUGUAGUGUAGCGGUGAAAUGCUUAGAUAUUACAUAGAAUACCGAUUGCGAAGGCAGUCUACUAACUAUAUACUGACGCUAAUGGACGAAAGCGUGGGGAGCGAACAGGAUUAGAUACCCUGGUAGUCC
rnacentral:rRNA from 1 species